AAAAGAAAGAAAAAAAAAUAAAAAGAACAAACUCUAAGUGUGCUUGAUGAAGAAUCCUUGCUUUACCUCCAAUUGCUCUGAGAAAACCCUAUCAAAUUUCUUACUCUUUCUCUACAAUGAAAUUUUCUUGAGUACUUGGGUGUCGAGAGACUCUCAAAAAUGUCUUCUCCUCUUCUCUAACUCAAAUUUCUAACAAUCCACUCUUUUGGAUCCUUCUCUCACUUUUGAUGAUGUGUCAAAAAUCUAUUGAAUGAAAAAUAACCUCUCAAAGACCAUCUCAUGGCCAGCCAUGUGUAUAAGAGGCAAUCUCAUGGCUGGCCAUGUGCCUAAUUAUCAUCCCACAGGCAACCAUACUUGUUCCUUCAAUCUCACAGUCAAUCAUGAGAAUCUCAAAACUGACCAUGAGAUCUCCUACCUAAAAUUA
rnacentral:misc_RNA from 1 species